rnacentral:hammerhead_ribozyme from 1 species
AUCCAGCUGACGAAUCCCAAAUAGGAUGAAAUGCACGUUAUCCUGGAU